rnacentral:misc_RNA from 1 species
UUUCCGUAGGUGAACCUGCGGAAGGAUCAUUAUUAUAUAACCGAGGUGCCAGGGCUGUCACUGCCCCGAAAGGUCGUGCACGACAGACUGCCGUCACACACAUCCAUCUCACCCCUAUGUGCACCACCGCGUGGGUCGCCCUUUUGCUUGUUCGGAGGGGGGCUUACGUUUUAACACAAACUUUGUUUGCAGUGUAUAUUGUAUUUUUUGUUUUUGCGAUCACGCAAUCAAUAAAACUUUCAACAACGGAUCUCUUGGUUCUC